rnacentral:lncRNA from 1 species
CUGGAUUCAAGAUAUAACAUAAUGACAAUGAUAAUUAGAAUCAUUACAUUGACUUGUUAUUAACUAGUAGCACAAAUAAAAAAGGGUGCUGAAAUAGGUCUCUUUUAAAAGGUAAAAUUGCAUACUUAACUAUUGUACAAUAAAAGAGGUUAGAAGAUGCCCAAAUAGCAAUCUUGGGAGAAAUUUUGUUUAAAUUGAUCCAUGAUAUAUCCAACUGAAG